rnacentral:rRNA from 1 species
GACGAACGCUGGCGGCGUGCCUAAUACAUGCCAGUAGAACGCUGAAGGAGGAGCUUGCUUCUCUGGAUGAGUUGCGAACGGGUGAGUAACGCGUAGGUAACCUGCCUGGUGGCGGGGGAUAACUAUUGGAAACGAUAGCUAAUACCGCAUAAUAGUAGAUGUCGCAUGACAUUUGCUUAAAAGGUGCAAUUGCAUCACUACCAGAUGGACCUGCGUUGUAUUAGCUAGUUGGUGAGGUAACGGCUCACCAAGGCAACGAUACAUAGCCGACCUGAGAGGGUGAUCGGCCACACUGGGACUGAGACACGGCCCAGACUCCUACGGGAGGCAGCAGUAGGGAAUCUUCGGCAAUGGACGGAAGUCUGACCGAGCAACGCCGCGUGAGUGAAGAAGGUUUUCGGAUCGUAAAGCUCUGUUGUAAGAGAAGAACGAGUGUGAGAGUGGAAAGUUCACACUGUGACGGUAUCUUACCAGAAAGGGACGGCUAACUACGUG